AGCUCCAAGAGCGUAUAUUAAAGUUGUUGCAGUUAAAAAGCUCGUAGUUGGAUUUCUGGUAUUACGCGCCUGGCCCGCUUUUAGUGAGUGCCGGUGCGCGUUUGCCAUCCUUCUAGAAAACGUUUCUACCCGGGCAACUGGGCCGGACUCGCGAUCUAGAUCUUUUACUUUGAAAAAAUUAGAGUGUUUAAAGCAGGCUUUUGCUGUGAAUACAUUAGCAUGGAAUAAUAAUCUAGGACUUCGGUUCUAUUUUGUUGGUUUCUAGUACUGAAGUAAUGAUUGAUAGGGAUAGUUGGGGGUGCUAGUAUUGGCCGGCCAGAGGUGAAAUUCUUGGAUUCGGUCAAGACUAACUUAUGCGAAAGCAUUCACCAAGGAUGUCUUCUUUA
rnacentral:rRNA from 1 species